UACGAAGGGUGCAAGCGUUACUCGGAAUUACUGGGCGUAAAGCGUGCGUAGGUGGUGAGUUAAGUCUGAUGUGAAAUCCCCGGGCUCAACCUGGGAAUGGCAUUGGAUACUGGCUCGCUAGAGUGCGGUAGAGGGUGGUGGAAUUCCCGGUGUAGCAGUGAAAUGCGUAGAGAUCGGGAGGAACAUCUGUGGCGAAGGCGGCCACCUGGACCAACACUGACACUGAGGCACGAAAGCGUGGGAGCAAACAGGG
rnacentral:rRNA from 1 species